rnacentral:rRNA from 1 species
UGUGAAGAUGCAAUCUCCCCGCUGCUAGACGGAAAGACCCCGUGAACCUUUACUGUAGCUUUGCAUUGGACUUUGAAGUCACUUGUGUAGGAUAGGUGGGAGGCUUUGAAGCAGAGACGCCAGUCUCUGUGGAGCCGUCCUUGAAAUACCACCCUGGUGACUUUGAGGUUCUAACCCAGACUCGUUAUCCGGGUCGGGGACCGUGCAUGGUAGGCAGUUUGACUGGGGCGGUCUCCUCCCAAAGAGUAACGGAGGAGUUCGAAGGUUACCUAGGUCCGGUCGGAAAUCGGACUGAUAGUGCAAUGGCAAAAGGUAGCUUAACUGCGAGACCGACAAGUCGAGCAGGUGCGAAAGCAGGACAUAGUGAUCCGGUGGUUCUGAAUGGAAGGGCCAUCGCUCAACGGAUAAAAGGUACUCCGGGGAUAACAGGCUGAUUCCGCCCAAGAGUCCAUAUCGACGGCGGAGUUUGGCACCUCGAUGUCGGCUCAUCACAUCCUGGGGCUGUAGUCGGUCCCAAGGGUAUGGCUGUUCGCCAUUUAAAGUGGUACGUGAGCUGGGUUUAAAACGUCGUGAGACAGUUUGGUCCCUAUCUGCAGUGGGCGUUGGAAGUUUGACGGGGGCUGCUCCUAGUACGAGAGGACCGGAGUGGACGAACCUCUGGUGUACCGGUUGUUUCGCCAGAAGCAUAGCCGGGUAGCUAAGUUCGGAAGAGAUAAGCGCUGAAAGCAUCUAAGCGCGAAACUCGCCCAAAGAUGAGACUUCCCUUGUGGUUUAACCAUACUAAAGAGUCGUUCGAGACCAGGACGUUGAUAGGUUGGGUGUGGAAGAGUGG